AAGGGAGUGCAUUAUGCAAACUGAAGUUUUAAAAUCAUUUCAUUUUCUAAGAACUAAACUUCAAUCUUCCACAAAAAUCUAUGUGUAUUGGUUCCUUAGGUUCCGAGAAUAAUAUGCUACUAAUCUCACCCCCCAACCUAACUCUUUUCAACACUUUAGCAACCUGACCAAAAUCAAUAAGAAAAGAACACACUUUCAUCUUUUUUUUUUUUUUUUUUU
rnacentral:lncRNA from 1 species